AUUGAACGCUGGCGGCAUGCUUUACACAUGCAAGUCGAACGGUAACAGGCCUUCGGGUGCUGACGAGUGGCGCACGGGUGAGUAAUGCAUCGGAACGUGCCCAGAGGUGGGGGAUAACGCAGCGAAAGCUGUGCUAAUACCGCAUGUGAUCUGAGUAUGAAAGCGGGGGACCAGGCAGCAAUGUUUGGCCUCGCGCCUUUGGAGCGGCCGAUGUCAGAUUAGGUAGUUGGUGGGGUAAAGGCCUACCAAGCCGACGAUCUGUAGCUGGUCUGAGAGGACGACCAGCCACACUGGGACUGAGACACGGCCCAGACUCCUACGGGAGGCAGCAGUGGGGAAUUUUGGACAAUGGGCGCAAGCCUGAUCCAGCAAUGCCGCGUGCGGGAAGAAGGCCUUCGGGUUGUAAACCGCUUUUGUACGGAACGAAAAGGCUCUGGCUAAUACCUGGGGCUGAUGACGGUACCGUAAGAAUAAGCACCGGCUAACUACGUG
rnacentral:rRNA from 1 species